UACGAAGGGGGCUAGCGUUGUUCGGAAUUACUGGGCGUAAAGCGCACGUAGGCGGAUACUUAAGUUAGGGGUGAAAUCCCGGGGCUCAACCCCGGAACUGCCUUUAAUACUGGGUAUCUCGAGUUCGAGAGAGGUGAGUGGAAUUCCGAGUGUAGAGGUGAAAUUCGUAGAUAUUCGGAGGAACACCAGUGGCGAAGGCGGCUCACUGGCUCGUUUCUGACGCUCAGGCGCGAUAGCGUGGGGAUCAAACAGG
rnacentral:rRNA from 1 species